GAUGAACGCUGGCGGCGUGCCUAAUACAUGCAAGUCGAGCGAAUGGAUUAAGAGCUUGCUCUUAUGAAGUUAGCGGCGGACGGGUGAGUAACACGUGGGUAACCUGCCCAUAAGACUGGGAUAACUCCGGGAAACCGGGGCUAAUACCGGAUAACAUUUUGAACCGCAUGGUUCGAAAUUUAAAGGCGGCCUCGGCUGUCACUUAUGGAUGGACCCGUGUCGCAUUAGCUAGUUGGUGAGGUAACGGCUCACCAAGGCAACGAUGCGUAGCCGACCUGAGAGGGUGAUCCGCCACACUGGGACUGAGACACGGCCCAGACUCCUACGGGAGGCAGCAGUAGGGAAUCUUCCGCAAUGGACGAAAGUCUGACGGAGCAACGCCGCGUGAGUGAUGAAGGCUUUCGGGUCGUAAAACUCUGUUGUUAGGGAAGAACAAGUGCUAGUUGAAUAAGCUGGCACCUUGACGGUACCUAACCAGAAAGCCACGGCUAACUACGUGCCAGCAGCCGCAGUAA
rnacentral:rRNA from 1 species